rnacentral:lncRNA from 1 species
CAGAUAGUCGCAAAGGACUAGCUCGAUGGGAGUCGUGGCUAACCAUGAGUCGGCGAUGGGCUCUAGUAGGUGGAUCUAUUGAGUACAGUCAUCUUGGGCUCUGGGUCUUUUCACGUAAUCAUGCAAAAUCUCCCCCAACAUCAAGUAUAAAAAAAUUUUCUUAAGAGAAAUCUUCUUGAUACCAAUUAUAAAAAUAAUCGACUUUAUACCAAUUAUUUUGAAAAUCAAUCCAAAUAAUAACUUUCCUAAUUUUUUUUUAAUACCAAUUGAGCUGAAAUUUAGACUAAUUAAUGAUUUUAUUUUUGAAACUUUGAUACCACUUAAGGAUUAAAGAAGGGCA